rnacentral:rRNA from 1 species
GAUGAACGCUGGCGGCGUGCCCAAUACAUGCAAGUCGAGCGAACAGACGAGGAGCUUGCUCCUCUGACGUUAGCGGCGGACGGGUGAGUAACACGUGGAUAACCUACCUAUAAGACUGGGAUAACUUCGGGAAACCGGAGCUAAUACCGGAUAACAUGUUGAACCGCAUGGUUCAACAGUGAAAGACGGUUUUGCUGUCACUUAUAGAUGGAUCCGCGUCGCAUUAGCUAGUUGGUAAGGUAACGGCUUACCAAGGCAACGAUGCGUAGCCGACCUGAGAGGGUGAUCGGCCACACUGGAACUGAGACACGGUCCAGACUCCUACGGGAGGCAGCAGUAGGGAAUCUUCCGCAAUGGGCGAAAGCCUGACGGAGCAACGCCGCGUGAGUGAAGAAGGUCUUCGGAUCGUAAAACUCUGUUAUUAGGGAAGAACAAAUGUGUAAGUAACUAUGCACGUCUUGACGGUACCUAAUCAGAAAGCCACGGCUAACUACGUG